rnacentral:rRNA from 1 species
UACGAAGGGGGCUAGCGUUGUUCGGAAUUACUGGGCGUAAAGCGCAAGUAGGAGGACUGUUAAGUCGGGGGUGAAAGCCCAGAGCUCAACUCUGGAAUUGCCUUCGAUACUGGCAGUCUUGAGGACGGGAGAGGUGAGUGGAAUUCCUAGUGUAGAGGUGAAAUUCGUAGAUAUUAGGAAGAACACCAGUGGCGAAGGCGGCUCACUGUCCCGUAUCUGACGCUGAGGUGCGAAAGCGUGGGGAGCAAACAGG